CUAGCUACAGGCUUAACACAUGCAAGUCGAGGGUCAGCAUGGUCUUAGCUUGCUAAGGCCGAUGGCGACCGGCGCACGGGUGAGUAACGCGUAUCCAACCUGCCUUACACUCUUGGACAGCCUUCUGAAAGGGAGAUUAAUACAAGAUGUUAUCAUGAGUAAGCAUUUUCACAUGAUUAAAGGUUUACCGGUGUAAGAUGGGGAUGCGUUCCAUUAGAUAGUAGGCGGGGUAACGGCCCACCUAGUCUUCGAUGGAUAGGGGUUCUGAGAGGAAGGUCCCCCACAUUGGAACUGAGACACGGUCCAAACUCCUACGGGAGGCAGCAGUGAGGAAUAUUGGUCAAUGGACGAGAGUCUGAACCAGCCAAGUAGCGUGAAGGAUGAAGGUUCUAUGGAUUGUAAACUUCUUUUAUACGGGAAUAAACGGAUCCACGUGUGGAUUUUUGCAUGUACCGUAUGAAUAAGGAUCGGCUAACUCCGUGCCAGCAGCCGCGGUAAUACGGAGGAUCCGAGCGUUAUCCGGAUUUAUUGGGUUUAAAGGGAGCGUAGAUGGGUUGUUAAGUCAGUUGUGAAAGUUUGCGGCUCAACCGUAAAAUUGCAAUUGAUACUGGCAGUCUUGAGUACAGUUGAGGUAGGCGGAAUUCGUGGUGUAGCGGUGAAAUGCUUAGAUAUCACGAAGAACUCCGAUUGCGAAGGCAGCUUACUAACCUGUAACUGACAUUGAUGCUCGAAAGUGUGGGUAUCAAACAGGAUUAGAUACCCUGGUAGUCCACACGGUAAACGAUGAAUACUCGCUGUAGGCGAUAUACAGUCUGCGGCCAAGCGAAAGCAUUAAGUAUUCCACCUGGGGAGUACGCCGGCAACGGUGAAACUCAAAGGAAUUGACGGGGGCCCGCACAAGCGGAGGAACAUGUGGUUUAAUUCGAUGAUACGCGAGGAACCUUAUCCGGGCUUAAAUUGCAACCGAAUAUGGCGGAAACGCUAUAGCUAGCAAUAGCGGUUGUGAAGGUGCUGCAUGGUUGUCGUCAGCUCGUGCCGUGAGGUGUCGGCUUAAGUGCCAUAACGAGCGCAACCCUUGCCGAUAGUUACUAACAGGUCAUGCUGAGGACUCUGUCGGGACUGCCAUCGUAAGAUGUGAGGAAGGUGGGGAUGACGUCAAAUCAGCACGGCCCUUACGUCCGGGGCUACACACGUGUUACAAUGGGGGGUACAGAGGGCUGCUACCACGCAAGUGGAUGCCAAUCCCAAAAACCUCUCUCAGUUCGGAUUGAAGUCUGCAACCCGACUUCAUGAAGCUGGAUUCGCUAGUAAUCGCGCAUCAGCCACGGCGCGGUGAAUACGUUCCCGGGCCUUGUACACACCGCCCGUCAAGCCAUGGGAGCCGGGGGUACCUGAAGUGCGUAACCGCAAGGAGCGCCCUAGGGUAAAACUGGA
rnacentral:rRNA from 1 species